GGUUGAUAUUCAGCUCACACGGAUCAAGGGUUUUACUUUCAUUUGAUUUACUCUCACAAAACUUCAUCAACCCUUUUUCUCUCUCUUUCUCUCUCUCUGGCGACUCAUGAACAUAUCUUGUUAAAAUCCGCUGAUUAGGGUUCCGGCAGUGGGAUUCUCGAGCAGAUUGGUGGCAGACGAGCAUCCGGCUGUAGAUGGUGGUUUUCUGGUAGAUCUAAGUUUUAAACCCCCAGCCGCUCCUUUUCGUUCUCUCUCAAAGAUUCAGUCCAGAUCUGCCCUCACUUCGCGAUUCACCAUAAGCUAAGAGGAGACAUGAUAGAGGAGAAAGGGAGCCGACAAAGCCCUAGCUGUUGCAUCAGGCGGAGAUGAGUACUGGAGACCAACUUAGCGUUGUUGUGCCUCAGGAGCCUUAAUUUCAGUGCAAAUUAUACGAUUUCACUACUCAUUUAUUAAAUUGAAGAAGUAGAUAUCAUGUUCCAUGCACUGAUGAACGAGAUAAACAUUAAUCUUGUGGCGUAUAAGACAAAAAGGAAGAACUACUAUGGAUGCCGACAAGAACCAUAUUACCAAAGACCAGUGCUUGGCGAGUGAGAAAAGACUCACAAGCGUUGUAUAGUCGUUUGGCUAAAGAAACAUGGAAAUCGUUUUGAGAUUGCUUGUUACAAGAACACGGUCCUCUCAUGGUGUCCUGGCGU
rnacentral:lncRNA from 1 species